UGCGUAGGCUGUGCAGAAAGUUGGGUGUGAAAUACCUCGGCUUAACCGAGGAAUUGCGCCCAAAACUACUGUGCUCGAGGAAGAUAGAGGUGAGCGGAACUUAGGGUGGAGCGGUGAAAUGCGUUGAUAUCCUAAGGAACACCGGUGGCGAAAGCGGCUCACUGGAUCUUAUCUGACGCUGAGGCACGAAAGCCAGGGUAGCAAACG
rnacentral:rRNA from 1 species